UCCCAAGACCACUCCAAGCCAUGCCUUGGUGAUGGCCCAGACUCCAAAGGAUAUGGGAAUCACAGAGUAUAAAUAAAGAGUAAUAAAUCAAGUGUUGGAGUUUGCCUUCCAAUAUGUGUCUGCAAUUCUAGACUAUGCAAAAAUUUAUUCAAGCCAUCCUAAGAAACCUCCUCUCGAGGGAGAUAAUGUGAGACUAGUGACCCAGUGUUGCGAAGACCUAUUUCUCCCCCCAAGACAUUCUUUACCAGAUAUUCCAUAUGCAGAACCUAGAUUGUUACCUGACAGAUACUGCUUAAUAGCUCCAAACUACAGACUGAAGUCCUCACUUUAAAAGGGAUCAUUCUGAAGAUCAGUUUCACAGCUAAGGGUCAGUGCUGCUAGUAGCACACCUACUACUCCUGUUAUCUGUACCAUAGCUCCUUAAACAGUGACAGCAUCAAUUCGAAAGUUCACAGUAUAGAUUUCACUUUCACAGUCCACACCUGUGAAGUCACUUCCU
rnacentral:lncRNA from 1 species